rnacentral:rRNA from 1 species
GACGAACGCUGGCGGCGUGCUUAACACAUGCAAGUCGAACGGAAAGGCCUGCUUUCCCUUGUGGAUUGCGGGUACUCGAGUGGCGAACGGGUGAGUAACACGUGAGUGAUCUGCCCCCAACUUGGGUAUAAGCCUGGGAAACUGGGUCUAAUUCCCGAUAGGACUGCAGGGUGGUGCCUGUGGUGGAAAACGAGUUUCUAGUGGUUGGGGAUGAGCUCGCGGCCUAUCAGCUUGUUGGUGGGGUAAUGGCCUACCAAGGCGGCGACGGGUAGCCGGCCGGGGAGGGUGGACGGCCAAAUUGGGACUGGGACACGGCCCAGACUCCUACGGGAGGCAGCAGUGGGGAAUAUUACAGAAUGGGCGGAAGCCUGCAGCAGCGACGCCGCGUGGGAGAUGACGGCAUUCGGGUUGUAAGCUCCUUUCGACCGCGAGGAAGCCACCUGGUUGGAAGGGUGGUGACGGUAGUGGUAGAAGAAGCACCGGCUAACUACGUG